rnacentral:misc_RNA from 1 species
AACCUAGCACACCUGCGGUGUGUACCUGCGGAAGGAUCAUUACCGAGUUUACAACUCCCAAACCCCUGUGAACAUACCACUCGUUGCCUCGGCGGAUCACCGCGCCCCGUGAAACGGGCCGGCCCGCCAGAGGACCUAAACUCAAAUGUUUUAUUGUAUCUUCUGAGUAAAAACACAAAUAAAUCAAAACUUUCAACAACGGAUCU